ACUCCGUACGGGAGGCAGGCAGGAUGGGGAAUAAUUGCACAAUGGGCGCAAGCCUGAUGCAGCCAUGCCGCGUGUGUGAAGAAGGCCUUCGGGUUGUAAAGCNCAUUUUCAGUCGUGAGGAAGGUAGUGUAGUUAAUAGCUGCAUUAUUUGACGUUAGCGACAGAAGAAGCACCGGCUAACUCCGUGCCAGCAGCCGCGGUAAUACGGAGGGUGCGAGCGUUAAUCGGAAUUACUGGGCGUAAAGCGCAUGCAGGCGGCCUG
rnacentral:rRNA from 1 species